AGAACUUUUGUUUCAGCCAAUGUUCUGAAAAUCGGACCGGAUCGACCGGUCGGACUGAUUUAACCGCGAACCGGCAAUAUUAAUGGUCUGGUCAGGCAUAUAAAACCGCUAAUCAAAAAACCAUUGAACCGGACGAGAACCGGUCGGUCAGACCAAACCGAAACCCGGCCGGUUUACACAAAAGAGGGUAGCUCCUUCGUUUCUUUCUCCCGUUCUCCCUUUCUUUCUUUCAGUCAGAGAAAUCACACAAACGCAAUCACAAAACCCUAGCACUGUAAGCCUACACCACCGCCACAAGGAGUGGCAUACUGCCGCCGUCCGUCGCACUCAAAGUUCGCCAUCCGUCAUCUAGCUUCUCUCGUGCUCAAAGUCUUCAACCCCUGUUCGCUGUCACCGAUCGCGGUUGCUUCCUCGAGCUCGGCGUCCGUCGUCUUUGUCUGCUCAGCCGCGCUUCCGUCGCCGUUUGUUUGCCGUUCACGUUCGCGUUCGCUCGGCGUUCACCGUUCGCGUUCACUCGCUGUUCACCGUUCGAGUUCGCGUUCGUCUGGAAGCCACGUUGCUCUGCUUCAAACUCUGCGACCAACCCGCGCCUCCACUCAGCCGUCGAACUGCUCUCUGUUGUCCCCGUCCACAAUCCUCCAAAACAACUC